CCUUCAGAGAUCUCCCCAAUACAAGACUUUAAAUAUCAUCAUCUAAAAUCAUGACUCUCACGUUGAAGCAUUACUCUACAAAGAUUUUAAACCGCAUAUUAAUAUGCUGUACCUUCUAGACUGUAUUUUGUUACGAUUCCAAUUCUCUUUGAUUCCUCAAAGUUACUUUAAAGGACGCCAAUUUAUUCUUCUUCUCUACAACGAUUUAUACAUGUUUUAAACUUUCUCCCAGAUUUGAUCACAACACAAAAAGAAGUUAUUACAAUCACGUUGGAGACCACACUAGUGACUACACGAGGAAUUUGGGAAGCACUGAUUAAAUAUAACAAAAACAGUCUUUUCUUUUUUAAGUAAAGAAAAGUGAAUCCUUGGGGUCUCCUUCCUGAACAAGGAAGUUCUGUUAAAUCCAGGCGAGACCAGCCAUGUUGGAAAACACUUGUCAAUUACAGUUGUGACAAGUGUUCGCGAACACCGUGGGAGGAAGCUAACCCUGUGCACCGAUGUGUGUGCAUCGAGGCCCUCUGCACCCCGCCCGAGGACCUGAGCCUACUUUGGGGACUGUUUCCGAGUUAGAGCUGUCCUCAGGUCCGCAAGGAGUGCGGAGCCGAGGGAAAAGAGGGCGGGGUUCCUCAUUCUGCGUGUUGAUAGUGCCCUAGUGAGCAAGAUCAAUGGCAGUGUAUGACCUCAUUCUCUGAUUGACUUGGAGUCUAAAAAAAAACCUGCUAAGCCUCCUCCCCCCUCACUCCCACCUUAUGUAUCUGCUGAGCACAUGACCUCCCAGCAACUCUUAGAGCUAGCUUUGGCCAUGUGGCUAAGUUCUGACCAAUGAACUGUGAGCAGAAGGGAUCACAUCCUCCUUAGGAAGCUGCUUGCCCUCCCUUCUCUCACUCUUCCUUUGCCCUGUCUGUGGGCUGAGACACAGACAUGAUGGUGGGAGUGAGCCAGCCUCAACCAUGCAUAGCAGGACUGCACCCUAGGAUGACAGAGCCACAGAAAGAAGAAGCCUGGGUCCCCGGAUUACCUCAUUUUGCCAUGCCACUCACCCCUACAGACUAACAACUCAGACUUUUUGUGCGUGAGAAAGAAAUCUUUUAUCUAGUUUCUCUCUUCUAAACCAGCCAAGUCAAUAUCCUAAUUAAUGCAGGUAAAAUAAACAAACAAACAAACACGGUUUCCUAUUUGCCAGAAAUCUGAGGCCCUCAGGUCCUUCAAUUUCCUGCCCCUCCAUCUAUAAACUAUAUCCGCACUCAUUUUUUUUCCCUAGGCAAGCUAAGCUUUCUACUAUGGCAGACUCUUAGGUGUCCUAUAAAAGGGAGGGAAAGACCAUAUAUGUACUAUUUUUUUCCUUCUCUUCUUGGGCACACGGCUGCCCAGCUGGAGACCACAUUUCCCAACCUCUUUUAU